AGGUCUGUGCAGUGUGCCCGCAGGAUCAGCAGGUUUUGUUUGCAGUGCUGCAAGCUGCUGCUCCUUCACAGGCACUGUUUACACACCUCUACCAAUUGGACCUCUCUCUCCUGUGACAGCAGUUUCAUUCAGAACUGGACUUUAUCUGCCUGAGGGUUUAUUUGCUGAAAUACGCUGUGCUCCCCAGCAGGAGAUAUAAGCCUCCUGAGCAGCCAAGGUUAACGCUUCACAGUGAGGACAGAGGAAAGACAGUUGCAAAGCACAAAGCGCAAGUUCACAGUGAGAGAGGAUCCCUCAUCCAGGUAUGAAAAGAUGCAGCUAUACCCAAACUGAUUUACAGCUUCACCUGUAACAAUACAAGAGGAAGAAAGCCCAAGUCUGAUAAAAGAAAGACUACACCACUGAGACUUACCUAUAAAUUCUAAUCUUUGUCACCAAACAUCAGGUCUUGUUUUGAGUUACGCAUUUAAGAUCUUAGCAAUCACAGCAAAAAAGGGUAUCACCAGGCUGAGCAGCAGCAUUACAAACUAGUGUAAGGAAGAUUACAGACCUGAGAUGUGGGAUUUGGAAUACCCACUUCAUCUCUUUUAUUGAAAUUGCUGAAUACUUUAUAUUACACUAUUUUGAUUCAAAAUGGAUUUUUUUAUAAAAAGAAACCAUUGUUGAAACUGAGAAAGCCAGCCAAAAGGAACAAUGAAAAGUCUCAAAAAAUUCUGACCAACGCAUGUACUUGUACUAUGCUUUGAAACCCUAUCACCACCCAUAAUUUAAUUUAGGAAACACCUGGAGAAGAUCAAGACUGAGCAAAGCUGACUGGCAUUCACUGCCAGCAAUGUUUCAAAUCAAUGACCAUGGCCAGGGCCAUAACAUAGAGCUAGAACUUAAGACGGUGAGAAAACAUUGGCCUAAUUCUUUUUUUCU